rnacentral:misc_RNA from 1 species
GAUGAAGAACGUAGCGAAAUGCGAUAAGUAAUGUGAAUUGCAGAAUUCAGUGAAUCAUCGAAUCUUUGAACGCACAUUGCGCCCGCCAGUAUUCUGGCGGGCAUGCCUGUUCGAGCGUCAUUUCAACCCUCAAGCCCAGCUUGGUGUUGGGGAUCGGCACAGGCGCCCUCGGGCGCCCGCCGUCCCCUAAAUCUAGUGGCGGUCCCGCUGCAGCCUCCUCUGCGUAGUAGUUUUCUCCUCGCAAGGGCAGCGCGGUGGCGACCUCGCCGUAAAACCCCCAACUUCUGAAAGGUUGACCUCGAAUCAGGUAGGAAUACCCGCUGAACUUAAGCAUAUCAAUAAGCGGAGGA